rnacentral:rRNA from 1 species
AUGGCUUGUUUGCUUUGAAGACUAAGCCAUGCAAGCCAAGAGACAGCAUGCCUGGAACUCGCAAACGGCUCAUUAUACGCGUCUUCAUGUAUGGCCCCAUUACUCAGUGGGAUCACCUGAGAAACUCUCUUGCCAAUACCGGCAUUUGAGGAUUCAGUAUUGAAUAUGGAUUAGGCGGUGCUUUUGAGGGGGCAUUGUGAUUCGCACGCAUCACCUAGUAGGUAGCGUAACGUGCUUCCUAGGGAUUAACGCCUACAGGACAUUAGGGUGCGACUCUGGAGAGUGAGCAUGAGAGACGGCUCACAGUUCUACGGAAGGCAGCAGGCGCGGAGAUUGCCCAAUGUACCGUGUGUACGAGGCAGUGAAGAAGCAUUAUGGGCUGGCGUAAGCUAGCACUGUGAUGAGCGGGUCGUACAAUCGCCCGUUAACGCAAGUCGUGGGAAAGCAUGGUGCCAGCAGCCGCGGUAAUUCCAUCAUGACUGACAAUCCCUUACGUUGCUGCGGCUACAACGCUCGUAGCUGCCUGUUGCCGAAGAAAUUCGCCAACUCGAGUAACUCCUAACGCUUAACGUAGCUACUGCGUGAGGGCUUAAGCGAGUGAUGGCCACGUGUAUUGCGUGGCCUAGAGAGCCAGGACGCCCACUCUACUAGCGGAGGACAGGUGAAAUAGCAUGAUUCCUCUAAGAGGAUCGGCUGCGUAAGCUGUGGGAGACUGUGCUCUUGCUGGUCAUGAGCGAGAGCGCAGGGCUGGACGACGAUCAGAGACCGUUCUACUCUGCGCCCUAAACGAUACUGCCCUUUUGUGCGCUAGCACUGCUAGUGCUUGGAUGCGAGAAGUCCUAGAGUCUUCGAGUUCCUGGGGGAGUAUGCUCGCAAGAGUGAAACUUGAAGGUAUUGACGGAGAGCUACCACCAGACGUGGAGUCUGCGGCUUAAUUUGACUCAACGCGCCAAUCUUACUAGACCCUGAUGCUUUACUGUACGUCAGAUUGAUAGUUCUUACAUGAAUGAGCAGGUGGUGGUGCAUGGCCGCUCUUAGUUCGUGGUGUGAACUGUCUGCUUCAUUGCGUUAACGAGCGAGAUGGACUCCGUAGGCUUGCCUGCGGUAUCGCCAGCGACAAGCUGGAUGAGAGUGUCCGCGCUAGCAGGUCUGUGAUGCCCUUAGACACUCUAGGCGCACGCGUACUACACUGUACGUGGCAGCAAAACGCUUGGCCUAUAGGCUGGGCGGUCUUCAACACGUACGUGGUUGGGAUUGCGGGUUGGAAUUCUCCCGCAUGAACCAGGAAUGUCUAGUAAUCAUGAGUCAUUAUCUCAUGAUGACUGCGUCCCUGGCUCUUGUACACACCGCUCGUCGCUUCUACCGAUGGUGUGCUGGUUGAGUUCUAUGGACGACCAGCAUCCAGCCGGCUCUAAGUAGUGCGAAGCUCGCUUACUAGAGGAAGGAGAAGUCGUAACAAGGCUGCA